GUAGCUCAGCUGGUAGAGUGCUUGCCUAGCAUGCAUAAGGUCCUGGGUUCGAUCCCCAGC
rnacentral:tRNA from 1 species